rnacentral:rRNA from 1 species
UAGGGAAUCUUCCGCAAUGGACGAAAGUCUGACGGAGCAACGCCGCGUGAGCGAAGAAGGUCUUCGGAUCGUAAAGCUCUGUUGUCAGGGAAGAACAAGUGCCGUUCGAACAGGGCGGUACCUUGACGGUACCUGACGAGGAAGCCACGGCUAACUACGUGCCAGCAGCCGCGGUAAUACGUAGGUGGCAAGCGUUGUCCGGAAUUAUUGGGCGUAAAGCGCGCGCAGGCGGUUCCUUAAGUCUGAUGUGAAAUCUCGCGGCUCAACCGCGAGCGGCCAUUGGAAACUGGGGAACUUGAGUGCAGGAGAGGGGAGCGGAAUUCCACGUGUAGCGGUGAAAUGCGUAGAGAUGUGGAGGAACACCAGUGGCGAAGGCGGCUCUCUGGCCUGUAACUGACGCUGAGGCGCGAAAGCGUGGGGAGCGAACAGGAUUAGAUACCCUGGUAGUCCACGCCGUAAACGAUGAGUGCUAAGUGUUAGAGGGUAUCCACCCUUUAGUGCUGCAGCAAACGCAUUAAGCACUCCGCCUGGGGAGUACGGCCGCAAGGCUG